GUCCUGAUUUGAAGAAGUUUUUUUUUAAUCAGAUAAGCAUGAAGACUAAUAAACACCUGAUACUUCAAUUUCUCUUUUUUUUAAGAAAAAAAAAAGAAAAUGCCUACCUACCUACCCACUGUCUCAACCUUUGGGUAGGGUUUGGGCAAAACAAAAUAUUUUUAAUUGUGGCCCAGGAUAUAAAAAAUAUGGCCCCAAAAAUAUAAUUUGGCAUCUGCUGAAAAAGGAUGACAUGUGGAGUGAAUGUCAUCAUCAAUUAUUACAUUUCAUAAUCAGUUACUGUUUAUAGUGUUAGUAAAUAAGGAGGCGUGUAUCCAGGUCAAGAACUGUACCAUUAUUUUACCAAUUUAACACUUUAUAUUUCUGAAAUUAAAUUAUAC
rnacentral:lncRNA from 1 species